GACGAACGCUGGCGGCGUGCUUAAUACAUGCAAGUCGAGCGAAAAGAUGCGGAGUUUGCUCCUUGCACGUGAGGGGCGCAGGGGUGAGAAACACGUGGAAACCCCCCUUAAAAGAGGGGGAAAAUUAGGGAAAACGGGCGAAAACCCGGGAGAAUAUAUUGAUCCGUAGGGUUGAUUGGUAAAAGACGGUUUUGCGGGAACGACUAGCGGGUUACGCGCUGCAUUGGCUGGUUGUGAAGGUAACGGGUUACGAAGGCAACGAUGCGUGGCCGACCUGACAGGGUGAUCGGCCACACUGGAACUGGGCCACGGUCCAGACUCCUACGGGAGGCCGCAGUAGCGAAUCUUCCGCAGUGGGCGAAAGCCUUACGGAACAACGCCACGUGAGUUGUGAAGGUCUUCCGAUCGUAAAACUCUGUUAUUAGGGAAGAACAAAUGUGGAAGUAACUAUGCACGUCUUGACGGUACCUAGUCAGAAAGCCACGGCUAACUACGUG
rnacentral:rRNA from 1 species